UACGAACGCUGGCGGCAUGCCUAAUACAUGCAAGUCGAGCGAACAGAUGAAGUGCUUGCACUUCUGACGUUAGCGGCGAACGGGUGAGUAACACGUAAGGAAUCUACCUAUAAGCGGGGGAUAACAUUCGGAAACGGGUGCUAAUACCGCAUAAUAUCUUCUUCCGCAUGGAAGAAGAUUGAAAGACGGCUCUGCUGUCACUUAUAGAUGACCUUGCGGUGCAUUAGUUAGUUGGUGGGGUAACGGCCUACCAAGACGAUGAUGCAUAGCCGAGCUGGGAGGGUGAUCGGCCACAAUGGGACUGAGACACGGCCCAAACUCCUACGGGAGGCAGCAGUAGGGAAUCUUCCGCAAUGGGCGAAAGCCUGACGGAGCAAUGCCGCGUGAGUGAAGAAGGCCUUCGGGUCGUAAAACUCUGUUAUAAGAGAAGAACAAAUUGUAGAGUAACUGCUACAGUCUUGACGGUAUCUUAUCAGAAAGCCACGGCUAACUACGUGCCAGCCGCCGCCGUAA
rnacentral:rRNA from 1 species